UCACCCAUCAAUAAUCGUCACCCCUUUUCCAUUCCCACCCAGGCGCCGGCCCCAUCGCAAUGAGAAAUUAUUGCACGGCAUGCUCCAGGUGCAAGUGAACCAAGGCAAAUCGUGGAGCAUAUACAUGAUGGAUAGCAUGCUAUCGGGAAUUGGUGAAAUCAAGGGGAAGCGUGGCAUGUCAUCCACCAUGGGAUUUGAUGCGGUCCAACUGCACCUGGUGCAUGCAAUACAGAGGCCAUCGCAAUAGAGAUUUUAGGGUUUUGUUCUUGUUUUUUCUUUUCUAUCAGUUCCUCUUGCUCCUGGUCGACACCAACCAAAUGCCCUUUUUCCUCAUCGAUUGAGUGAUCGGCAGCCUCUUCAUGAAGUAGGUCAAGGAAUCGGCUGAUGUUGGGCUGGGAUGUUGCUCAGACCCCAAAGGGAAAAGAUCUUUGGCCAAGCAUCAUGAGGCAUGGAUACGUUCCAGACUAGUCAAGCAACCUACAUCAACCAUAGCCACCACAGAUCCAAGCUUUCUAGCUUGACUCCUUAGGGCUUGUGCAAGAUGUACAUUGUAUUACUCUUCAGAUGAGGGCUCAGAGAAUUCCAACUUCAUUGAGUUUCCAUUCUUUUUUCUGUUGGUGGGACACCAGGCUAUGGUUAUCUAAGACCCUCAGUUGCAAUUCUGAACAUGCAGACCUGGGUUAAGAUUUCAGUAUGAACUAGCUCUCCUUCAUGUACAUUAGCAAGCAUUUCCUGUGCUGAAAUCAGAUCUUUUCCAAUAGAUGGAAGGUCAACGAAUAUGUCAAGUAGAUCUACCAGCAAGGGGUAAAUGCAUUGCACAAGUAGUGUAGCUUGGUAGCGACUUAAUAGUUGGCCCUCUCCUGUGGAAGAAUGUAAAUGCUAUCCAGAAGUUUUUGGAUUGAGUGGUUGUCAAUGCUUGUAAAGAUUUUGCGUCAUUGCUGUCCAAACAAGAUUCAUGUAAUAUUUUCUCCACUUAGCUAAUUGUAAAGAUUGAAUGUAAAUGAUUCUUGAAUGUAUAUGCUAGCUA